rnacentral:rRNA from 1 species
AAAUUGAAGAGUUUGAUCAUGGCUCAGAUUGAACGCUGGCGGCAGGCCUAACACAUGCAAGUCGAACGGUAACAGGAAGCAGCUUGCUGCUUCGCUGACGAGUGGCGGACGGGUGAGUAAUGUCUGGGAAACUGCCUGAUGGAGGGGGAUAACUACUGGAAACGGUGGCUAAUACCGCAUAACGUCGCAAGACCAAAGAGGGGGACCUUCGGGCCUCUUGCCAUCAGAUGUGCCCAGAUGGGAUUAGCUUGUUGGUGAGGUAACGGCUCACCAAGGCGACGAUCCCUAGCUGGUCUGAGAGGAUGACCAGCCACACUGGAACUGAGACACGGUCCAGACUCCUACGGGAGGCAGCAGUGGGGAAUAUUGCACAAUGGGCGCAAGCCUGAUGCAGCCAUGCCGCGUGUAUGAAGAAGGCCUUCGGGUUGUAAAGUACUUUCAGCGGGGAGGAAGGUGUUGCGGUUAAUAACCGCAGCAAUUGACGUUACCCGCAGAAGAAGCACCGGCUAACUCCGUGCCAGCAGCCGCGGUAAUACGGAGGGUGCAAGCGUUAAUCGGAAUUACUGGGCGUAAAGCGCACGCAGGCGGUCUGUCAAGUCGGAUGUGAAAUCCCCGGGCUCAACCUGGGAACUGCAUUCGAAACUGGCAGGCUUGAGUCUUGUAGAGGGGGGUAGAAUUCCAGGUGUAGCGGUGAAAUGCGUAGAGAUCUGGAGGAAUACCGGUGGCGAAGGCGGCCCCCUGGACAAAGACUGACGCUCAGGUGCGAAAGCGUGGGGAGCAAACAGGAUUAGAUACCCUGGUAGUCCACGCCGUAAACGAUGUCUACUUGGAGGUUGUGCCCUUGAGGCGUGGCUUCCGGAGCUAACGCGUUAAGUAGACCGCCUGGGGAGUACGGCCGCAAGGUUAAAACUCAAAUGAAUUGACGGGGGCCCGCACAAGCGGUGGAGCAUGUGGUUUAAUUCGAUGCAACGCGAAGAACCUUACCUGGUCUUGACAUCCACGGAAGUUUUCAGAGAUGAGAAUGUGCCUUCGGGAACCGUGAGACAGGUGCUGCAUGGCUGUCGUCAGCUCGUGUUGUGAAAUGUUGGGUUAAGUCCCGCAACGAGCGCAACCCUUAUCCUUUGUUGCCAGCGAUUAGGUCGGGAACUCAAAGGAGACUGCCAGUGAUAAACUGGAGGAAGGUGGGGAUGACGUCAAGUCAUCAUGGCCCUUACGACCAGGGCUACACACGUGCUACAAUGGCGCAUACAAAGAGAAGCGACCUCGCGAGAGCAAGCGGACCUCAUAAAGUGCGUCGUAGUCCGGAUUGGAGUCUGCAACUCGACUCCAUGAAGUCGGAAUCGCUAGUAAUCGUGGAUCAGAAUGCCACGGUGAAUACGUUCCCGGGCCUUGUACACACCGCCCGUCACACCAUGGGAGUGGGUUGCAAAAGAAGUAGGUAGCUUAACCUUCGGGAGGGCGCUUACCACUUUGUGAUUCAUGACUGGGGUGAAGUCGUAACAAGGUAACCGUAGGGGAACCUGCGGUUGGAUCACCUCCUUACCUGAAAGAAGC